GGGGACGUUACGGAUUCGACAGGGAUUGUCUUAGCUUGAGUUGCGCGUCGGAGGGCUCGGCUCCGUAUCAACGGCAGUUUAUAAUAACUGGCAAAAACCAAAACCUAGCUUUCGCAGCGUAAGUUGCGUAGCUGCUCGACCUGACCAUCGCCCAUGUGGUUUGGAAGAGCUCAACUUUAGUGGGAUACGAUUCGUGGUGCCACUUGAGUCACGAAUAAGAGAUUUCCAAGUUAGCGUACAAGACGCCUGCUUAUCGGCAUAAUGUUACGCGAAUUGCAAAUAGGUAAGCUACACGCGUAGAAGCUUGAGUGUCAGAGUUUCUGGACGCGGGUUCAACUCCCGCCGUCUCCAUAG
rnacentral:tmRNA from 1 species